GGUGCUCAAUCUAUUGAGCCACACCAGCCAGGGCUUCUGUUUUCUCUUUUAGCAAUGUUGAUGUAGUAUUGAUUUCUUUCUCCAUCCUGGAUGUCUAAUUGCACACUGGGCUUUUCAACAUCAGUUAGUUCUCUGCUGGCGCCUCUUGUUUGUUCAUAAACAUUGUCUCCACCUGCCGAUUCCAGGUUCUACCUGUGUUUUCUUCUCCAUGGGAAGCUUUCACCUUCAGUGAAUAUUUCUCCAGACACUUGGUCCAGACUUCAGACAUACCCUGGAGAGCUGUAUGAGGCUUUUGUUGCCCGUAUAGUUUUAAGUUUGCAUUUGCUUUUUCUACUUGCAUCUUUCUGGUUUUUGUUUCUGCUACAACAGACAGGUUCUUUCUCACAUUAUAAGAGAUUGGCUUAUCUUAAUCUGAAUAUUGAAGUUUUUCUUUUCCUAGCUGGUUUGCUAUUAAGCAUCAGACGUACCACCAGAUCAUGGGGUUAGGUGUAUGGAGGGCAUCAGGCACUUCCCGCACUCCUUUCAUUUCAGGGUGAAACUGACAAGAGCUUUAAUUGUAUCAGAAUGAGUGCUGAAUUGCUAAGGGUGUGUUUGACACUUAGUGCAUAAUUUUUUUUUCAUUCACUUAAAAAUCCUGCCUAAAACCAAGAGAACUGUUAACCCACAUACUGUCUUGGCAAAUGUGACUAUUUCCCACUGAUGCCUGGGGGAGGGGGACUGGUCUCCAUCGACACACUCCUCUGCACAGAACUCUGCAGCGUCUCCCAGGCCCGCCCACGGUGCAGAUCCCUAGCAGGCAGAAGCCCCUCCGUGGUGCCCAGGCUGCACAGAACCCCCUCUGUUGUCACCAAGUCCUGCUGGGCUCAAUAUGUCCUAGAGAGGACCCUGAGCAAGUUUCUUCCCGGAACCAAGCCUGCAUCUGGCAACCGGGCAGACCAUGAGCGAGAGGGUUGAGAGGGAACGGGCCUGACACGCCAGCCCCAGCCCCGUAGCAGAUGCCCUGAGACCCUCCGUUUUGUCCAGGGCUCUGUCUUUUCUCUACUCAAACCUCUCUUUUGCGGCCCCAGAGGCCUCAGCGCCUGCCCUUCCCUCUGCCUGGAAAGCGCUUCCUCUUGCAGCCCUCCAGAGCCAACGCAAACUCUGUAGCCAUUGGACCUCACCCUCCCUGUGCGCCCAGUGGCCGAGCAGGGCCUGGCACAGACUAGGUCCUCAGCGCCCCGAGAACGUUCGAGGAGAUAACGAAUGAAUGAGUGAACAGAUGAAUGAGGGGGGAAGCCUGCAGAUGAACUCGUAACGCUGCCUCAGCAGCUGGUUCCCUUCGGAGAGCAGAAAACUCUGUUCAGAGCCCCGUGCAGGGCUGUGGAGAGAAGGGGAGGCGGUGGCAGCCCUGCCCGGGGCUCCUCAUUCCCCCUGCCGCUCCCACCCCACCACCGCACCGGGAGACCAGAACAAGUUACCCGACCUUUCUGAGUGUCCUUCCUCAUCCCUCACCUGAGGUUGAGAGGGUUAGCACCAGGGUGGAAGUGGAGCUUGGCGGGUAAGUGAACUUUUUGAUUCCAUUGCCCAAGGCAUUAGCAACUCCUUCCAGGAACUGAGCAUUCCACCCAGGUUUAGCAAGAGCAUGAAGAUAAGAAGAUAAAAUACCUGUUAUAAAUUCAAGAAAAGGAGAUAAAACAUUUUUACUGUUAAAGAAUUGUAUGCUCAGUAAACAGAACAGGCUAAUAAAACCUGCUAGAAUUAAUAAGAGAAUUGAGCAACAUGACUGCAUGUAAGGUAAGCAUAAAAAGCAAGACUGUGAUUUUUAAAGAAAACUUUAGAUUGAGAUACAAAAGCAGCUGCAGACAGUCAGCUCCCCUUUCUGGCGCGCUGGCCCCUGGGGGCCUGGCCAGUGUUGCCUCUGCUCAGGCCUUUUCUCCUUCUCAGCAGGAGCACUCGCUGCCCAAAAGGUGGAGCAAAGCGUCACUCCGUUUUUCUACUCUCAGAAUGAAUACCUGCGAACAAAACUGGGGGUCGACUCACAUCAUAGCAACCAGAAGAAUGAAAUACUUGAGAAUGUACUUAACAAGAAAGGUAUAAAACCUAUAAAAAGAAAAACCACAACAUCUUAUUGAAAGAUAUAAAACAAGACUUGUGUGAAUGAGAAGACAUGUUGUGUUCUUGGAUAGAAAGAUACAACUCCAUAAAAGUGUCAAUUCUAUAAUGACUGUAUAAGUUUACUUUAAUUCCAGCUAGAAUGCUAACAAAUUUCCUCCGCCUUCUUCUUUUUUAGGAAUUGACAGAGAAAGUAUGAAAAAUAAGAACAGGGAGGAGAUUUGUGCUCCAGAAAUCAGAGUAGACUAGAAAGCCGCUGCGGGCAGACACUGCGGGUUUAGCUCCGACACUCAUCCCCUCCUCAUCCUCAGUGAACCCCAGACUCCCGUCUGGGCACAGAGCCAUGUGGAGCAAAGCCCACACCUCCUAGCCCAUCGUCCAGCCGAGCACGGUCAGGUGCAGCUGAGGUGCAGAUGGGAAGGACUCGGGCGCUGCACACUGGGAACUUGUGACUCUUCUUAUACGGAAUUAAAACAUUUGAUCAAAA